rnacentral:rRNA from 1 species
UACGUAGGUGGCAAGCGUUAUCCGGAUUUAUUGGGCGUAAAGCGUGCGCAGGCGGUUGUUUAGGUCUGAUGUGAAAGCCUUCGGCUUAACCGAAGAAGUGCAUCGGAAACCGGGCGACUUGAGUGCAGAAGAGGACAGUGGAACUCCAUGUGUAGCGGUGGAAUGCGUAGAUAUAUGGAAGAACACCAGUGGCGAAGGCGGCUGUCUGGUCUGCAACUGACGCUGAGGCUCGAAAGCAUGGGUAGCGAACAGG